rnacentral:rRNA from 1 species
UGGGGAAUAUUGGACAAUGGGGGGAAACCUGAUCCAGCCAUGCCGCGUGUGUGAAGAAGGCCUUAUGGGUGUAAAGCACUUUAAGCGAGGAGGAGGGUACUGGUAUUAAUACUACCAGGUACUGGACGUUACUCGCAGAAUAAGCACCGGCUAACUCUGUGCCAGCAGCCGCGGUAAUACAGAGGGUGCGAGAGUUAAUCGUAUUUACUGGGCGUAAAGCGUGCGUAGGCGGCUAAUUGAGUCGGAUGUGAAAUCCCCGAGCUUAACUUGGGAAUUGCAUUCGAUACUGGUUAGCUAGAGCGUGGGAGAGGAUGGUAGAAUUCCAGGUGUAGCGGUGACAUGCGUAGAGAUCUGGAGGAAUACCGAUGGCGAACGCAGCCAUCUGGCCUAACACUGACGCUGAGGUACGAAAGCAUGGGGAGCAAACAGG